rnacentral:rRNA from 1 species
GUGCCAGCAGCCGCGGUAAUACAGAGACUGCAAGCGUUAUUCGGAUUCACUGGGCGUAAAGGGUGCGCAGGCGGCCGUGUGUGUCAGGUGUGAAAUCCCGGGGCUUAACCCCGGAACUGCGCCUGAAACUACACGGCUAGAGUAUUGGAGAGGGUAGCGGAAUUCACGGUGUAGCAGUGAAAUGCGUAGAUAUCGUGAGGAACACCAGAGGCGAAGGCGGCUACCUGGACAAUUACUGACGCUCAGGCACGAAAGCGUGGGGAGCAAAAGGGAUUAGAUACCCCUGUAGUCCACGCCCUAAACGGUGCACACUAGGUCUUGGAGGAUUCGACCCCUUCAGGGCCCAAGCUAACGCGUUAAGUGUGCCGCCUGAGGACUACGGCCGCAAGGCUAAA